rfam:Oryza rufipogon genomic scaffold, chr06
AAAAAAAACAAACUCUGGUUUCCGUGUCCAACGUUUGACCGUUCGUCUUAUUUGAAAAAAAUAUAAAAAAAAUUAAGAAGAUAAGUCACGCAUAAAAUAUUAAUCAUGUUUUAUCAUCUAACAAAUAUGAAAAUACUAAUUAUAAAAAAAAUUCAUAUAAGACGAAUAGUCAAACGUUAGUACGGAAACUCAGGGUUUGCCUUUUU